GCGUGCAGAUUUGUCUCUCCCGCUCGGGAGCCCGGUGGAUCCUCUCCCACCUCCCCACCUCGCCCCCCGCCUUUAUUUUUUUUUCCUGCAGGUCUUCAUUUAAUUUGUUUUUCCCCCUGCUGCAAGCCUUCUUGGGUGUAUAUACACAUUUAUUUUGCACCGAGAAGGAAGAGCGCUUUAUAAGUUAAAAUACAGUGGGGGCAUAUGUGUAUUUUUUUCCCCACUGUGGAUGCCAAUAUUUUUGAGACUGGAAGCCUAAAUUUUUUGUUGGAAACCAUUUCGUUUCCGUUUCUUGCCUCUUACCGCCGAAGAGUGCAAGGCCUUUCAUGAGCUGGAGGAGGGAAUGAUAUUCAGUGGUGUUUUUCUCAGGUGAAAGGAGCAGUAGAUGAUGAUGUAGCAGAAGCAGAUAUAAUUUCUACAGUAGAAUUUAAUCAUUCUGGAGAAUUACUAGCAACAGGAGAUAAAGGUGGUAGAGUCGUCAUCUUUCAACAAGAGCAGGAGCGCCUUUGACCUGAGGAUCUCAAAGUGCUUUACAAACACUAAUGAAUUAAUCCUCACAACACCCCAGUGAG
rnacentral:sRNA from 1 species